rnacentral:rRNA from 1 species
UACGUAGGGUGCGAGCGUUUGUCCGGAAUUAUUGGGCGUAAAGAGCUCGUAGGCGGCUUGUCGCGUCGGUUGUGAAAGCCCGGGGCUUAACUCCGGGUCUGCAGUCGAUACGGGCAGGCUAGAGUUCGGUAGGGGAGAUCGGAAUUCCUGGUGUAGCGGUGGAAUGCGCAGAUAUCAGGAGGAACACCAGUGGCGAAGGCGGCCAACUGGUCCGGUACUGACGCUGAGACGCGAAAGCGUGGGGAGCGAACAGG